rnacentral:rRNA from 1 species
UACGUAGGGUGCAAGCGUUAAUCGGAAUUACUGGGCGUAAAGGGUGCGUAGGCGGUUCGUUAAGUCUGUCGUGAAAUCCCCGGGCUCAACCUGGGAAUGGCGAUGGAUACUGCCGAGCUAGAGUGUGUCAGAGGAUGGUGGAAUUCCCGGUGUAGCGGUGAAAUGCGUAGAGAUCGGGAGGAACAUCAGUGGCGAAGGCGGCCAUCUGGGACAACACUGACGCUGAAGCACGAAAGCGUGGGGAGCAAACAGG